UACAAGCAGGAAGUAUGCAAAUAUGUAAAUGCUCCAUAAAACCAGACUGAAGUAGUGUGUUUUCCACUGAAGGUGAUGAAAGAAAAGGCCUGAAGCCCAGUCUUCGGAGCAGUCACGCUUUGUAAACUUGACCGCUACGGUGCCUGCUCCCCCGUUUAACAAGGUUUAUUUUGAACUGACAUUCCUACAUAGGCAAUAUUAAACUAAUGACAGCCUUCAGGCUAGUUUAGCUAAAACACACCUUUAACUCACAGGUAGUCUGCUGUGAAAAACACACAAAAUAAAUUUCAGUUUUGACCCGAUGUACAGCAGGUGAAACAUAAGCAUCUUGACCCUCUUUUUUUUGUUAUCGAUGUUUUCUGGCAGCAUCCCACCCUUUCCUCCUUUUCAUUUAUUAUAUCCUGUUUUCGUACUUAGACCUAUGUAGAAUGAAGGUCAAAUGGGGUAAAGAGGAGCAGGGGAAUGUGAAAAACCCUUUACCUUCUUCGGUUUCUGCUCAUUUUAAUGUGUAAGACAAAGUUAAAAACCUGGAUGUGGUUGAACGUCUUUGUUCAGGGUCUGCAGUUCACAGUUCAACGAUGCUAUAAUCUGGUGUAGCAGCAUCAAGAUGUGCUGAAUCCCCUUCUUUACCUUUUAAGAAAACAGGCGAUAACAUGUUUUUUUGCUGUUCUAAAAUUCUCUCCUCUUUACAUUUCGAACAGAGGAGAAUGAGAAUUUUAAAGCUUAACAUUUAUUAACAAGCAGAGUGUAGAAUUCUGUGGCCAGCCAAUAUAUAUUAAGCCAAUAUUUCCACACUUUUUGCUCCAUCAUCAUUUAAACCUAAACAGAAAAAUAAAUACAUUAUGUUCACCCAAAUGUAUUUUUUGAUUACUACAAUAUGUAGAAUAUACAUAAUACGGCGAAUUGACCUGUCUGAUUACUGCAGUAAUCGUAUGAUCAGUGUCUGACACGUAGAGUUUUGUUCUUUUCAACAAGAAGGCAGCUGUGAGGAUGAAACCUUGUCCCACACUGGAGAGUCUUUCAUUUGUGUGUGCUGGGCGAACGAAUCUGCUCCGAAGUUUAUGCGUCCUAGCAACAGUUAAGCUAUCUGAUUACCCCGAGUACGCCAUCUUUUCAGGCUUUAUGUGUUCCACAUGGGUAUAAUUUGACAUUUUCUUGAAUUUCAAAGCUUUUUUUUUUGGUGCCCAGUGUUGUUAAUUAAAAAGUGGACUAGUUUUGUUGUGGCCUUCUGUGUUGCCAAGUCGGGAAAUCACCGCCUUCUUUGUUGAUCUCUCACUUCUUCCUUUUCUUCUCCCUUCCUUGCUCUCUCUUUUUCUCUGUCCCCAGCGCUCUCCUUCUUCCCAUUUUACUCUGUCAGGAAUAAAGCUUCCCCAACGACUCUGUGAGUAAAACAUCCUUCCGCUAUUAAUGGGAUUGAGCAGAUGUUUUCUGUUUGAAAAGCCCAGAGAUGGUACAGUAAACCCUGGAGCAAAGCAAAACAAAAAGAUUUUUUGGCUCCAGAAAAACAUAAAGCAAAAGCAGAUAUUUAUGGAAAUGAUUAUAUCACUUCCCUCGUGUCCCGUACAGACGCAUGUCUCGCGCACAUGGCAAAUUAGAGGUCAUCCCUACCACUUUAGCGCAUGUCUGUGUGCGUGUGCCAGUGAUUCUGGUACUAAAACAUCAUAAAUAACACUGUAACCCCUGGGACAAGGUGUUAUAAAUAGGAUGUGUCAAACCCUGCUCAGGCCAACCUCUGGUUUCCCCGAAACCCUUUCUUUUCACCCGCCGAGCGGCUUAGCUGCUUUUUAAUUUGGCCUUCCCGCGGGCUAACCAACUGACGCCUCUCUGCGAGGGCCUCUGUAUUUCAACAACGCCACAAAAGCCCCAGUGCUCAGGCACUCGCGCUCACAAAGGCUCUCCAGCCUCUCUGAGCUGUUACUUUUUUGGAAGCUCCGACUUUACCAUCAGCAGAGGAGAAACGCUGGCUCAGGCCAGAAACCAGCAGCCAAGUCUCAUCUGUCAGAAACCCCAGGGGCCAGACUCUCCAGCCACUGGGUGGGUGGGGCCCGUCCAAAACAGAGAGAGGAGGAGGGAAAAAAGAGCAAGAAAAGAAAAGAAAAAGCCGAGUGAAGGGGAAAGAAGGUUUAAGAGCGAGAGGAAGCUCCCAGAUAAACAGGCCGCAGCGCCUCAACUCCUAAUCACCCUGCGCUUCCGUUUCCAGACUCUAUAAUUAGAAGGGCCCCGUCCCUUUUUUCUCUGUAUUCCCAGUUGACGCAAAUGCUUCUUGUGGCUUGGCACCUCAUUUGGGGCGUGGGUUUUUCGAGAGUUUACAGGCCUUAGCUCUCUGGCUUUCUGGUCGCUCUGAUACAGCAUGAAUAGCAAACCGCUGUCUUAAUGCACACUUCACUUGGCUCCUUCUCUGAUUUCCACCCUUUCACCCUUGAUAAUCCUCAUGACCUACUGCUCGCCAGGCCGUGUUUCCCUACUCCCUACGUUAAUAUACACAACUUACGAAACCGGAACUUCGCUUAAUUCUGGAUGGAAUUGCGAGGAUGUGCAGCGACCUUGGAUUGUUUUUCUGCACAGGGAGUGUUUUCCAUCUCCCCUGCACGUGUUGCUAGAAUCCUUUUAAUCUCGUGCCAUUUCAGCCUCCUCUUUUUACAUUUGACACACCACCCAAUAAAGACCAGCUGGUAAUUAAAACCUACUGUAGCUCCCACAUAAAAGCUUCCAUGAGCAAAAAGUCAUCGGAAAAUGACUCUGGAAGUUUUCAAGAAGGCACAGAUUUAGACUUUUUUUUUUUUAAAUUCCUGCACUAUCAGGUUUUUCUCUUAUUGCUUACACUAUAGAUUUGUUUGCAGCAUCUCAACCUGAGGCGUCUGAAGAUGGAUUUUGGAUUGUCUUCUGAAAAGUGGCACUGCUUUUUUUUUUCUUUUUUCUGUGCAGCUGAGCCAGUUCAGAUCUGGGUUUGUUCUGGUGUGGUUUGUUGAGCAUGUUGUUUAUGGUGAGGACCUAUACUUUCUGCAGUUUGAUGAGCUUCAAAUAAAACUAGACCAAAUGAAUGGGCCUGUCAGUGGGGGUUACACUUGUGCUGCUCUGUGGUUUUGGGUUUUGGUGGAUCUCAAAAGUGUGUGUGCACACACAUACACACACACCCAAAACCAUCCACGGAUGUAUGAGUACACAGAUGCUGUCUCUAACAGACACUGAUCUCGGUGCCUGUCCUUGAAGAAGCACACGACUCCAGCCGUGCUUCUAACCAGAGUGGGCUACCAUGUGAAGAGAGCUGUGUUUUAUGACAGCAGCAAACGAUGGCUGGUCUGAUUUUAAUGGCCUGGUUUGUUUGUUUUAAAGGCACAGUAAUUCUGUCACAGUAAUGUUUGUUGUUGGAAAAAUAAAGGUGGGGCUUUU